AGUGAACGCUGGCGGUGGGCCUAACACAUGCAAGUCGAACGGCAGCACAGUAAGAGCUUGCUCUUACGGGUGGCGAGUGGCGGACGGGUGAGGAAUACAUCGGAAUCUACUUUUUCGUGGGUGAUAACGUAGGGAAACUUACGCUAAUACCGCAUACGACCUACGGGUGAAAGCAGGAGAUCUUCGGACCUUGCGCGAUUGAAUGAGCCGAUGUCGGAUUAGCUAGUUGGCGGGGUAAAGGCCCACCAAGGCGACGAUCCGUAGCUGGUCUGAGAGGAUGAUCAGCCACACUGGAACUGAGACACGGUCCAGACUCCUACGGGAGGCAGCAGUGGGGAAUAUUCGGCCAUGGGCGAAAGCCUGACCCAGCCACACCGCGUGGGUGAAGAAGGUCUUCGGGUUGUAAAACCCUUUUGUUGGGAAAGAAAAACAGCAUGUUUAACUCCCCCCGUUUUGACGGUACCCAAAGAAUAAGCACCGGCUAACUUCGUG
rnacentral:rRNA from 1 species